rnacentral:rRNA from 1 species
CCUACGGGAGGCAGCAGGGGGGAAUAUUGGACAAUGGGCGAAAGCCUGAUCCAGCAAUGCCGCGUGAGUGAUGAAGGCCUUCGGGUCGUAAAGCUCUUUUACCAGGGAUGAUAAUGACAGUACCUGGAGAAUAAGCUCCGGCUAACUCCGUGCCAGCAGCCGCGGUAAUACGGAGGGAGCUAGCGUUGUUCGGAAUUACUGGGCGUAAAGAGUACGUAGGCGGUUAUUCAAGUCAGAGGUGAAAGCCCGGGGCUCAACCCCGGAACUGCCUUUGAAACUAGAUAACUAGAGUCUUGGAGAGGUUAGUGGAAUUCCGAGUGUAGAGGUGAAAUUCGUAGAUAUUCGGAAGAACACCAGUGGCGAAGGCGACUAACUGGACAAGUACUGACGCUGAGGUACGAAAGCGUGGGGAGCAAACAGGAUUAGAUACCCUGGUAGUCCACGCCGUAAACGAUGAUAACUAGUUGUUCGGUCACUUGGUGACUGAGUGACGCAGCUAACGCAUUAAGUUAUCCGCCUGGGGAGUACGGUCGCAAGNUUAAAACUCAAAGGAAUUGACGG